GAUAAACGCUGGCGGCGUGCUUAACACAUGCAAGUCGAACGAAGCACUUUAACGGAACUCUUCGGAGGGAAGUUAUUGUGACUGAGUGGCGGACGGGUGAGUAACGCGUGGGUAACCUGCCUUGCACAGGGGGAUAACAGUUAGAAAUGACUGCUAAUACCGCAUAACCCGCUAGUACCGCAUGGUACAGACGGAAAAGAUUUAUCGGUGUAAGAUGGACCCGCGUCUGAUCAGCUGGGUGGUGGGGUAACGGCUCACCAAGGCGACGAUCAGUAGCCGGCUUGAGAGAGUGGACGGCCACAUUGGGACUGAGACACGGCCCAGACUCCUACGGGAGGCAGCAGUGGGGAAUAUUGCACAAUGGGGGAAACCCUGAUGCAGCGACGCCGCGUGAGUGAAGAAGUAUUUCGGUAUGUAAAGCUCUAUCAGCAGGGAAGAAAAUGACGGUACCUGACUAAGAAGCCCCGGCUAACUACGUGCCAGCCGCCGCGGUAAUAC
rnacentral:rRNA from 1 species